AGUGAACGCUGGCGGUAGGCCUAACACAUGCAAGUCGAACGGCAGCACAGUAAGAGCUUGCUCUUACGGGUGGCGAGUGGCGGACGGGUGAGGAAUACAUCGGAAUCUACUUUUUCGUGGGGGAUCACGUAGGGAAACUUACGCUAAUAUCGCAUACGACCUACGGGUGAAAGCAGGGGAUCUUCGGACCUUGCGCGAUUGAAUGAGGCGAUGUCGGUUUAGCUAGUUGGCGGGGUAAAGGCCCACCAAGGCGACGAUCCGUAGCUGGUCUGAGAGGAUGGUCAGCCACACUGGAACUGAGACACGGUCCAGACUCCUACGGGAGGCAGCAGUGGGGAAUAUUGGACAAUGGGCGCAAGCCUGAUCCAGCCAUACCGCGUGGGUGAAGAAGGCCUUCGGGUUGUAAAGCCCUUUUGUUGGGAAAGAAAAGCAGCAGGUUAAUACCCCGCUGUUCUGACGGUACCCAAAGAAUAAGCACCGGCUAACUUCGUG
rnacentral:rRNA from 1 species